UGCCUUUUGGUAUUUAUUAAAAGGUUGUUUCUGCUCGGUGUUUUUUAACAGCCGCGGUAAUUUGACCGUGCAAAGGUAGCAUAAUCAUUUGCCUUGUAAUUGAGGGCUAGUAUGAACGAAUUAACAAAGGCCUUGCUUUAUUGAGGGGAGUUGUUGAAAUUUCUUUCUUAGUGAAGAAGCUAAGAUAAAGAAAGGGGACAAGAAGACCCUUUCGAGCUUUACUAAAAGUUGGUUUUUUUAGUCAGUUUUAGUUUGGUUGGGGCGACCAAGGAAUAGGAUCUUCCUUUUUUAAUUUUGAUCCACAGUUUGUGAUUAAAAGAACAAGUUACCGGAGGGAUAACAGCGUAAUCCUCUUUGAGAGCUCUUAUUAAAAAGAGGGAUUGCGACCUCGAUGUUGACUUAUGGUUACCUUUCGGUGUAGCCGCUGUUAGGGUAGGUCUGUUCGACCUUUAAAAUCUU
rnacentral:rRNA from 1 species